rnacentral:rRNA from 1 species
GAUGAACGCUGGCGGCGUGCUUAACACAUGCAAGUCGAACGGUGAAGCUCCAGCUUGCUGGAGUGGAUCAGUGGCGAACGGGUGAGUAACACGUGAGCAACCUGCCCCUGACUCUGGGAUAACAGCCGGAAACGGCUGCUAAUACCGGAUAUGCACCAUGAACGCAGGUUAUGCGGUGGGAAAGCUUUUUCGGUUGGGGAUGGGCUCGCGGCCUAUCAGCUUGUUGGUGAGGGAAUGGCUGACCAAGGCGUCGACGGGUAGCCGGCCUGAGAGGGUGACCGGCCACACUGGGCCUGAGACACGGCCCAGACUCCUACGGGAGGCAGCAGUGGGGAAUAUUGCACAAUGGGCGAAAGCCUGAUGCAGCAACGCCGCGUGAGGGAUGACGGCCUUCGGGUUGUAAACCUCUUUUAGCAGGGAAGAAGCGAGAGUGACGGUACCUGCAGAAAAAGCGCCGGCUAACUACGUG